UGCCUGUAGAGCGGGACUCUGAUGAUACUUCAUGGGAGAGCUUCUCUGAAAGGCUCUGGGCUGCAGACGACAAUACCUGAGAUGAAAAGAGCAUUUUCCCCCCACCCCGUUCCUGCCAUCGUGAGGCACUGCAUUACCGGCACAGGGUCAGUCACUGCGACAGCUACAAGGGCCGCAUGCCGCAACUCUGUGAAGCGUUCAACACUGGGCUUGUCAUCAAUGUGUAAGAGGAUCUUGGUGAGCUCCACGCUGACCUGAAAGAUGGAAGCUAGGUUCGGCUUUGGCCAAGCACUUUGGCAGAAUCUGAAUUAAAGCUUGGAUUUGGCGGAAUCCUGGAUUUUGGUGCAUUCCUGCAUAUUAUAAAUGUAGAUGAAUCAAUCAGUGUUCCUUUAUAACACUACAAUCUACCUGGGGCACUUGGGUUUGAUGAUUCCAGAAGUAGUUCCAUGUAGCCUGGGCAAAUCACUAGCUUUCUUCCUCUAAUCUCAGGCUGCAGUGAAUCUUUGUAUUUUAAUAAAUCAGCAGCUGUAAUUGUGCCAGACUGUA